UACGAAGGGGGCGAGCGUUGUUCGGAAUCACUGGGCGUAAAGCGUGCGUAGGCGGUACUGAAAGUUAGGAGUGAAAGCCCAGGGCUCAACCUUGGAAUUGCUCUUAAAACUACAGUACUCGAAUCUCGGAGAGGAUAGCGGAAUUGUCAGUGUAGCAGUGAAAUGCGUAGAUAUUGACAGGAACACCAGUGGCGUAAGCGGCUAUCUGGACGAGUAUUGACGCUGAGGCACGAAAGCGUGGGGAUCAAACAGG
rnacentral:rRNA from 1 species